rnacentral:rRNA from 1 species
AUUGAACGCUGGCGGCAGGCUUAACACUUGCAAGUCGAGCGGGGUGAUGGUGCUUGCACUAUCACUUAGCGGCGGACGGGUGAGUAAUGCUUAGGAAUCUGCCUAUUAGUGGGGGACAACAUCUCGAAAGGGAUGCUAAUACCGCAUACGUCCUACGGGAGAAAGCAGGGGAUCACUUGUGACCUUGCGCUAAUAGAUGAGCCUAAGUCGGAUUAGCUAGUUGGUGGGGUAAAGGCCUACCAAGGCGACGAUCUGUAGCGGGUCUGAGAGGAUGAUCCGCCACACGGGGACUGAGACACGGCCCAGACUCCUACGGGAGGUAGCAGUGGGGAAUAUUGGACAAUGGGGGGAACCCUGAUCCAGCCAUGCCGCGUGUGUGAAGAAGGCCUUAUGGUUGUAAAGCACUUUAAGCGAGGAGGAGGCUCUUUUGGUUAAUACCCAAGAUGAGUGGACGUUACUCGCAGAAUAAGCACCGGCUAACUCUGUGCCAGCCGCCGCCGUAA